rnacentral:rRNA from 1 species
UACGAAUGGAGCAAGCGUUGUUCGGAAUCACUGGGCUUAAAGCGUAUGUAGGCGGAAACGAAAGUCAGAAGUGAAAUCCCAGGGCUCAACCCUGGAACUGCUUUUGAAACUUCGUUUCUAGAAUUCUGGAGAGGUUGGGAGAAUUCCGAGUGUAGAGGUGAAAUUCGCAGAUAUUCGGAGGAAUACCAGUGGCGUAGGCGCCCAACUGGACAGAUAUUGACGCUCAGAUACGAAAGCGUGGGGAGCAAAC